rnacentral:lncRNA from 1 species
CACAAACACCCCUCAGUCUGCAAGCACACUUUCCUUAUUUUGAAGUUGAAAUUUGUAAAAAACACACAAAAUGGGAGCAAAACUGCGAAACAGAAAACUCCCCGAGGGUAUUUAAGCAAAUUAAAAAAAAGGGAAGUAGAUCUUCGAGUUUUUACAGUAAGAUUGGAAAAACCCUAAAGAAGGAAAAGGAUGAAGACUGGUCCGAGGAAUAAAUGAAGUAUAGUUUUUUAGUAAGUGGAGAAAAGCAAAGCAAAGCAGCAAGAAAAAAAUACGAGUAGUGGCUUUUCUCAACUAAAGAGAUCUCUCUCUCUCUCUCUCUCUCUCUCCUCUCUUUCUCUCUCU